rnacentral:lncRNA from 1 species
GUAUCGCUAGUUUAUGACCUGCCGAUUUUGGGGGUUGGCUCCGGGCGUAGCACGUUGGUGCCGCUGAAUUGGGGCAAUUGAUCUCGGGUACACCUGGAUCCGCCACACAAAUUCCGCACUCUAACGGUUCGCAUUUCUCUGCUCUAACUCCUCCGAAAAUCUGAUGUUCACUCUUAAUAUGUAGGACUUACUCUGGGCGUUCGACUCCGCUGGUCCCGUUAGAACGUUUUCCGUUAUUCCGCACUUUUACUCAACAACACUCG